GGGCCUCGCCCUGCCCCGCGGCGGGAACGCGGCCGUGAGGGUGUGGGGUGUAGGUCCGCCAGGCCUGCAACGGCUGCCGAGGGUCGUGGGAUGCGCUCGCCGCGUCCCUGCUCAGGCGGAGGGAGCCCGGCCCGCCGCCAGGGUCUCGAGUCCGGGUCCAGGCAGGCGUGGAGGUGGCGGGAACGGCGCACCGCCCGGGUGGGCGUUGUUUUAAGGCCGCAGGGCUUGGGAGGCUUGUGUUGAGUUACAGGAGUAUGACAACUUUUCAACUUGAGUGCACACACUGUCCCCGGAAUCCCGCGUUCCAGGGAGGAAGCGCCUUUGACAGCGCGCGCCGGUUCGUGGGGCCCGACGGCGUGGGCCUGUGGUUGCGGACCUGGCGGAGAUGCGCGUUCGCUUCGAUUGUAGGCCAUUCCUUUUAGGAGCUGAGAAAGGAUCCGUUUUUACAGCAUUCUCGACCUGUGAUUCUUGGUGGGGGAAACUAGUUAUGUGGAUAAAAAUACAGUUAGCAAAAUAAAAAUGCCAAUUUUACAUUUC
rnacentral:lncRNA from 1 species